CAGUAGCCGCGGGAAUACGUAGGUGGCAAGCGUUGUCCGGAAUUAUUGGGCGUAAAGGGCUCGCAGGCGGUUUCUUAAGUCUGAUGUGAAAGCCCCCGGCUCAACCGGGGAGGGUCAUUGGAAACUAGGAAACUUGAGUGCAGAAGAGGAGAGUGGAAUUCCACGUGUAGCGGUGAAAUGCGUAGAGAUGUGGAGGAACACCAGUGGCGAAGGCGACUCUCUGGUCUGUAACUGACGCUGAGGAGCGAAAGCGUGGGGAGCGAACAGGAUUAGAUACCCCGUAGUCCCUGUCUCUUAUACA
rnacentral:rRNA from 1 species